GUGCCUACCUGUCAGGGGAGAUACCAUGGUCAAGAAGAUGUUACCCCCCUCCCCAGGAUGAGGCUCAUCUGUCACACUUGAGAUCUGCUGACCCCUGUGCUUUACCCUAAUGCAGGAAAGUUGUCUGCAUAAUUUGUGGCAGUAGGGAAUUGUAUUUGUACUCUUCCCUG